AGACAGUACAAAAUGCAGCAGCCAGACUACUGACCAAGCAAAGUCGAUCAUGUCACAUUACACCUGUUCUCCACUCCCUGCAUUGGCCUCCAAUUAAAUGGCAAACAUAUUUUAACAUUGGCCUGCGACUUUUGAUAGGCAUUCAGUCAGCUCUUCUGACUGUCAGAAACGCUUAGCUUUUAUGUCUGCUUUAUAUAUUUGUAAAAUGUUUUGAG